rnacentral:rRNA from 1 species
AUUGAACGCUGGCGGCAGGCUUAACACAUGCAAGUCGAGCGAGCGGCGGACGGGUGAGUAAUGUCUGGGAAACUGCCUGAUGGAGGGGGAUAACUACUGGAAACGGUAGCUAACUCCGCCCACCAUCAGAUGUGCCUAGACGGGAUUAGCUAGUAGGUGGGGUAAGGGCGCACCUAGGCGACGAUCCCUAGCUGGUCUGAGAGGAUGACAAGCCACACUGGAACUGAGACACGGUCCCGACUCCUACGGGAGGCAGCAGUGGGGAAUAUGGCACGAUGGGCGCAAGCCUGAUGCAGCCAUGCCGCGUGUGUGAAGAAGGCCUUCGGGUUGUAAAGCACUUUCAGCGAGGAGGCGUUACUCGCAGAAGAAGCACCGGCUAACUCCGUGCCAGCAGCCGCGGUAAUUC